GCCAGGUAUGGUGGUGCAUGCCUGUAAUCCCAGCAGCAUGGGAGGAUGAGGCAGGAGGAUCUCGAGUUCAAAUCCAGCCUCAA
rnacentral:sRNA from 1 species